rnacentral:rRNA from 1 species
ACGCUCGACACCUACGGGAGGCCGCAGUGGGGAAUAUUGCACAAUGGAGGAAACUCUGAUGCAGCGAUGCCGCGUGAGGGAAGAAGGUUUUCGGAUUGUAAACCUCUGUCUUUGGGGACGAUAAUGACGGUACCCAAGGAGGAAGCUCCGGCUAACUACGUGCCAGCAGCCGCGGUAAUCUGAGGCGGGCUGGCAAGGC